rnacentral:tRNA from 1 species
GCCCGUGUGGCGCAAUGGUAGCGCGUUUCCCUCCUAACGUAGUUAUUAUACUGCUUGCUACAGGAAAAGGCUGUGAGUUCAAGUCUCAUCUCGGGUG